rnacentral:rRNA from 1 species
CGCGUGAGGAACCUGCCUUUCAGAGGGGGACAACAGUUGGAAACGACUGCUAAUACCGCAUGAUGUAUCGGAGUCGCAUGGCACUGAUACCAAAGAUUUAUCGCUGAAAGAUGGCCUCGCGUCUGAUUAGCUAGUUGGUGAGGUAACGGCCCACCAAGGCGACGAUCAGUAGCCGGACUGAGAGGUUGACCGGCCACAUUGGGACUGAGAUACGGCCCAGACUCCUACGGGAGGCAGCAG